rnacentral:rRNA from 1 species
UACGGAGGGUGCAAGCGUUAUCCGGAUUUACUGGGUUUAAAGGGUGUGUAGGCGGGCUUUUAAGUCAGUGGUGAAAUCUCCGGGCUCAACCCGGAAACUGCCAUUGAUACUAUUAGUCUUGAAUUUUGUUGAGGUAGGCGGAAUAAGUCAUGUAGCGGUUGAAAUGCUUAGAUAUGACUUAGAACACCAAUUGCGAAGGCAGCUUGCUAAACAACAUUGACGCUGAGGCACGAAAGCGUGGGGAUCAAACAGG